AGAGUUUGAUCCUGGCUCAGGACGAACGCUGGCGGCGUGCUUAAUACAUGCAAGUCAAGGAGAAUGAGCUUCUUCGGGAGCUUUAGUAAACUGGCGAACGGGUGAGUAACACGUAGGUAACCUGCCCUUAGAUCGGGGAUAACCUUGCCAAAGCGGGGCUAAUACCUGAUGAUGUCUCUGUUUCGCAUGUGAUAGAGAUGAAAGUUGUCUUUCGGGAUAACGUCUAUGGAUGGACCUGCGUCCCAUUAGCUAGUUGGUGAGGUAAGAGCUCACCAAGGCAACGAUGGGUAGCCGGCCUGAGAGGGUGACCGGCCACACUGGGACUGAGAUACGGCCCAGACUCCUACGGGAGGCAGCAGUAAGGAAUAUUGCGCAAUGGCCGCAAGGCUGACGCAGCAACGCCGCGUGGGUGAUGAAGUUCUAAGGAACGUAAAGCCCUGUUAGGAGGGAAGAAUAGUACUGAUGUGAAUAAUAUCAGUAUUUGACGGUACCUCCAAAGAAAGCCCCGGCUAACUCCGUGCCAGCAGCCGCGGUAAUACGGGGGGGGCGAGCGUUGUCCGGAAUUAUUGGGCGUAAAGGGCGCGUAGGUGGAAUGAUAAGUCAAGGGUGAAAACCAUGGGCUCAACUCAUGGCCUGCCUUUGAAACUGUUAUUCUUGAGUACGGAAGAGGGAAGUGGAAUUCCUGGUGUAGCGGUGAAAUGCGUAGAUAUCAGGAAGAACACCGGUAGCGAAGGCGGCUUCCUGGUCCGUAACUGACACUGAGGCGCGAAAGCGUGGGGAGCAAACAGGAUUAGAUACCCUGGUAGUCCACGCUGUAAACGAUGGGCACUAGGUGUUGAAUCACGUUAAGUGAAUCAGUGCCGAAGCUAACGCAUUAAGUGCCCCGCCUGGGGAGUCACGAUCGCAAGGUUGAAACUCAAAGGAAUUGACGGGGGCCCGGCACAAAGCGUGUGGAGGCAUAUGGUUUCAUUCCGAUGCACGGCGAAAGGAACCUUUACCUUGGGGCUUGAACUUGGAAUUGGAAUCCUCUGAAAGGAGGGUUUCUCUUCGGGGACAAUUCAAGAGGUGCUGCAUGGCUGUCGUCAGCUCGUGCCGUGAGGUGUUGGGUUAAGUCCCGCAACGAGCGCAACCCUUGCCCUUAGUUGCCAUCAGGUUAUGCUGGGCACUCUAAGGGGACUGCCCCGGAUAACGGGGAGGAAGGUGGGGAUGACGUCAAGUCCUCAUGGCCCUUACGUCCAGGGCUACACACGUGCUACAAUGGCCAGUACAGCGGGAAGCAAAAUCGCGAGGUGGAGCAAAUCCCUCAAAACUGGUCUCAGUUCGGAUUGCAGUCUGCAACUCGGCUGCAUGAAGUUGGAAUCGCUAGUAAUCGCGGAUCAGCAUGCCGCGGUGAAUACGUUCCCGGGCCUUGUACACACCGCCCGUCACGCCAUGGAAGUCGGUAGCACCCGAAGCCGAUGGCCUAAUCCACUUUGGUGGAAGGGAGUCGUCUAAGGUGAGACUGAUGACUGGGGCGAAGUCGUAACAAGGUAACC
rnacentral:rRNA from 1 species